rnacentral:rRNA from 1 species
UACAGAGACUGCGAGCGUUAUUCGGAUUCACUGGGCGUAAAGGGUGCGCAGUCGGCCGUGUGAGUCAGGUGUGAAAGCCCGAGGCUCAACCUCGGAAUUGCGCCUGAAACUACACGGCUAGAGUACUGGAGAGGGUAACGGAAUUCACUGUGUAGCAGUGAAAUGCGUAGAUAUCGUGAGGAACACCAGAGGCGAAGGCGGUUACCUGGACAGUUACUGACGCUCAGGCACGAAAGCGUGUGGAGCAAAAGGG